UACAGAGGGUGCGAGCGUUGUCCGGAAUCACUGGGCGUAAAGGGCGCGUAGGCGGCUUGAUAAGCGUGCGGUGAAAGCCCGGGGCUCAACCCCGGGUCGGCCGUGCGAACUGUCGAGCUGGAGCACUGUAGAGGCAGGUGGAAUUCCGGGUGUAGCGGUGGAAUGCGUAGAGAUCCGGAAGAACACCGGUGGCGAAGGCGGCCUGCUGGGCAGUGGCUGACGCUGAGGCGCGAAAGCAUGGGGAGCGAACAGG
rnacentral:rRNA from 1 species